CGCGUAGGCGGCUCGGAAAGUCGGGCGUGAAAUGCCGGGGCUCAACCCCGGGACUGCGUCCGAUACUUCCGAGCUGGAGGUAGGUAGGGGAGAUCGGAAAUCCUGGUGUAGCGGUGAAAUGCGCAGAUAUCAGGAGGAACACCGGUGGCGAAGGCGGAUCUCUGGGCCUUACCUGACGCUGAGGCGCGAAAGCUAGGGGAGCGAACA
rnacentral:rRNA from 1 species